rnacentral:misc_RNA from 1 species
GAUGAAGAACGUAGCGAAAUGCGAUAAGUAAUGCGAAUUGCAGAAUUCAGUGAAUCAUCGAAUCUUUGAACGCACAUUGCGCCCCCCAGUAUUCUGGCGGGCAUGCCUGUUCGAGCGUCAUUUCAACCAUCAAGCCCUGCUUGUGUUGGGGUCCUGCGGCUGCCCGCAGGCCCUGAAAACCAGUGGCGGGCUCGCUAGUCACACCGAGCGCAGUAGCACAUCUCGCUCAGGGCGUGCGGCGGGCUCCAGCCGUUAAAGCACCCACCUUUCGCAAGGUUGACCUCGGAUCAGGUAGGAAUACCCGCUGAACUUAAGCAUAUCAAUAAGCGGAGGA